rnacentral:RNase_P_RNA from 1 species
UGAUGGCAGAUGAUCGCUGGUGAAUUGAAGGAUUCGCCAGAGGAAAGUCCGAACACCACACGGCGGCAUGCCGCGUAGAACACGCGGGCAACCCCGGCGCAAGCCGGGUGUUGACGGAGAGUGUCACAGAAAACAUACCGCCCGUUCUUUGAAGAACAGGCAAGGGUGAAAAGGCGAGGCAAGAGCUCACCGCUCGCGAAGUAAUUCGCGAGGCACGAAAAACCCCAUGCGGUGCAAGACAAAACAGAGGAAGGGCAGCCGGCCCGCCGGUCUCGAAACCUUUCGAGACCAGAAUCCUCGGGUAUGUCGCUUAGAUAAAUGAUCAUCACGGUCCCGCGAUUGUCGGGACCGUACAGAAUUCGGCUUAUCGCCAUCGACAA